CAGCAGCCGCGGUAAUACAGAGGAUGCAAGCGUUGUCCGGAAUUAUUGGGCGUAAAGAGCUUGUAGGCGGUUGGUCGCGUCAGCUGUGAAAGGCUGGGGCUUAACCCUGGUUUUGCAGUGGGUACGGGCUAACUAGAGUGCAGUAGGGGAGACUGGAAUUCCUGGUGUAGCGGUGGAAUGCGCAGAUAUCAGGAGGAACACCGAUGGCGAAGGCAGGCCUCUGGGCUGUAACUGACGCUGAGAAGCGAACGCAUGGGGAGCGAACAGGAUUAGAGACCCGUGUAGUCCCUGUCUCUUAUAC
rnacentral:rRNA from 1 species